GCAAGUCGAACGAGGUGCUUUUUGUAGCAAUACGAGGAGUAUCCUAGUGGCGAACGGGUGAGUAACGCGUGGGUGACCUACCCCAAAGUGUGGAAUAACAGUCCGAAAGGAUUGCUAAUGCCGCAUGUGGUCUGCGAGUUUAGAAAUCGUUGACUAAAGGAGCAAUUCGCUUUGGGAGGGACCUGCGUCCCAUCAGCUAGUUGGUGAGGUAACGGCUCACCAAGGCUACGACGGGUAGGGGACCUGAGAGGGUGGCCCCCCACAAUGGAACUGAAACACGGUCCAUACACCUACGGGUGGCAGCAGUAGGGAAUAUUGCACAAUGGGCGAAAGCCUGAUGCAGCAACGCCGCGUGCGCGAUGAAGGUCUUCGGAUCGUAAAGCGCUUUUCUGAGAGAUGAGAAAGGACAGUAUCUCAGGAAUAAGUCUCGGCUAACUACGUGCCAGCAGCCGCGGUAAAACGUAGGAGGCGAGCGUUAUCCGGAUUCACUGGGCGUAAAGCGCGUGCAGGUGGUUCGGUAAGUUGGGCGUGAAAUCUCCCGGCUCAACUGGGAGAGGUCGUUCAAUACUACCGGACUUGAGAGCAGAAGAGGAAGAUGGAAUUCCCGGUGUAGUGGUGAAAUGCGUAGAUAUCGGGAGGAACACCAGUGGCGAAGGCGAUCUUCUGGUCUGUUUCUGACACUCAGACGCGACAGCUAGGGUAGUAAACGGGAUUAGAGACCCCGGUAAUCCUAGCCGUAAACGAUGUGAACUUGGCGUUGGUGGGUUAAACUCCAUCAGUGCCGAAGCAAACGCGAUAAGUUCACCGCC
rnacentral:rRNA from 1 species